UACGGGGGGGGCAAGCGUUGUUCGGAAUUACUGGGCGUAAAGGGCUCGUAGGCGGCCAACUAAGUCGGACGUGAAAUCCCCAGGCUCAACCUGGGAACUGCGUCCGAUACUGGAUGGCUUGAAUCCGGGAGAGGGAUGCAGAAUUCCAGGUGUAGCGGUGAAAUGCGUAGAUAUCGGGAAGAACACCCGUGGCGAAGGCGGUUCUCUGGGACGGUACUGACGCUGAGACGCGAAAGCGUGGGGAGCGAACAGG
rnacentral:rRNA from 1 species